rnacentral:rRNA from 1 species
UACGGAGGGUGCAAGCGUUAUCCGGAUUCACUGGGUUUAAAGGGUGCGUAGGUGGUUAUGUAAGUCAGUGGUGAAAGCCCGCGGCUCAACCGUGGAAUUGCCAUUGAAACUGCGUAACUUGAGUAUAGUUGAAGUGGGCGGAAUACAUCAUGUAGCGGUGAAAUGCUUAGAUAUGAUGUAGAACACCGAUUGCGAAGGCAGCUCACUAAACUGUAACUGACACUGAGGCACGAAAGCGUGGGGAGCAAACAGG